CCUACGGGAGGCAGCAGUGGGGGAUAUUGCACAAUGGGGGAAACCCUGAUGCAGCGACGCCGCGUGGGUGAAGAAGCGCCUCGGCGCGUAAAGCCCUGUCAGCAGGGAAGAAAAUGACGGUACCUGAAGAAGAAGCCCCGGCUAACUACGUGCCAGCAGCCGCGGUAAUACGUAGGGGGAAAGCGUUAUACGGAUUUACUGGGUGUAAAGGGGGCGCAGACGGUGAUGCAAGCCAGGAGUGAAAGCCCGGGGCCCAACCCCGGGACUGCUCUUGGAACUGCGUGGCUAGAGUGCAGGAGGGGCAGGCGGAAUUCCUGGUGUAGCGGUGAAAUGCGUAGAUAUCAGGAGGAACACCGGUGGCGAAGGCGGCCUGCUGGACUGCAACUGACGUUGAGGCCCGAAAGCGAGGGGAGCAAACAGGAUUAGAUACCCCUGUAGUC
rnacentral:rRNA from 1 species